AUGCUAACCAACGAUUACAAUCACAACAGCUCCCCAUAUCCAUUUCACUGUACCAAACCUCUACCUAUUUUCCGCCAAUUCUCCCAGGUACUCAUGUUCCAAAUGAAUGCAGGACUGGUUGUAGGGAAAUGGAAAUCUGAUUUGAACCAAUUUUCACCGAGUUUGUUAGUGUGCUGUAGUGAAUGCAGAUUUGGGGAUCCAAGUUUAAUGGACAGAUUUUGGUGUUUGCAGAUGCCAAUGAGCCGGGCGUAUUGGUUGAUGGCUCAGCAUAGUGGCAACGAGUUUAAGGCUAGCUUUGCAAGAAAUACUUAUGACACUUGCACCUUAAGAAACUUGAAUGGAUACUUCCCUAAUCAAAUCCUCAAUUCUCCAUGA